rnacentral:tRNA from 1 species
UUAGAAGUGCCAGAAGUUUAUGGGCUGGAUUUAGGUUUCAGUUAUGGUUUUAUCCCCUUCUAAA